rnacentral:lncRNA from 1 species
CUUGUGUAACAACUUUAAAAAUGAGAGACUAAACUGAAAUGAAAGAAGGACUAUGGUGAAAAAGGAAAAUUUGAAGUUGCACUUCUUAGUGCCUAUAAAAAGGUACUCAAAUGCUUUGGUGAGGACGUUUUUUCAGCCAUCUAACUCCCCCCAAACUCUCUCUCUCGUUAAUUUUUCAGAUCCGAAGUAGAAAUUCAAUCAAAAACCAAAAAAACAAAAAACUCAAAAAUCAAAAAAAAAAUCUAUUGUUUCAUUGAGAAAUGGCAUAUCUGAUUCUAAUUUCCAGCUAGCUUCUUCACAUUUUAUAGUUUUAGUUUUGAUUGGGUUUGUUGAAGUAAUUUGGUGCUGUUUCAAGUGAAUUUGGUAUUAGUCGAGCUGGUUGGUCAUUUUCUUAGUUUGAUUGGUGUUCUCACAUCUACUGGGUUCAUGGAGUCUGUUUGGGCUUGUUCGACUGUGUGUUGGUGUGAUUAGUAGAUACUGCUCGAUUUUGAAACAUUUCUGAGUUCUAAACUUUUAUUGGGCUGCCUGUGAUCACCUCUUAUUGUUGCUGAUCCUUCUUUUGCUCAUCUUUUAAUUUCAAAUCCAGGUACAUGCUAUUUGUCUCUAGUGACGUGGAAACUUGGCUCAAAUGUAUGAAUGAUGUGGAAAGUCAAUGACAAGGAAUUGUUGUCUGUUUAUUUGAAUCUUAGCCAUUUAGUUUGAUUUUGUUGGUGUUGUUAAUGUAAUGAAGUUUGAAUCAGUGUUGGCUACUAUUGGAAACUGAACAUUAGAUUUGGAAGCAAGUGUAGGCCCUGUCAAUAUUAAAAUCCAAGCCUAAUGAACAUGUUAGUAGUACAGCACGUUAGUUUGUCUUAUUUCUGUUAAAGUGAACUCAAAAUCAGGUAUCGCACAAUACUGUGUCUUUGGGCUUGAAAUUUCAACGUAAAUGUCAAUUG